rnacentral:rRNA from 1 species
GCCUAACACAUGCAAGUCGAACGGAAAGGCCCUUCGGGGUACUCGAGUGGCGAACGGGUGGGUAACACGUGGGUGAUCUGCCCUGCACUUCGGGAUAAGCCUGGGAAACUGGGUCUAAUACCGAAUAGGACCACGCGCUUCAUGGUGUGUGGUGGAAAGCUUUUGCGGUGUGGGAUGGGCCCGCGGCCUAUCAGCUUGUUGGUGGGGUAAUGGCCUACCAAGGCGACGACGGGUAGCCGGCCUGAAAGGGUGACCGGCCACACUGGGACUGAGAUACGGCCCAGACUCCUACGGGAGGCAGCAGUGGGGAAUAUUGCACAAUGGGCGCAAGCCUGAUGCAGCGACGCCGCGUGAGGGAUGACGGCCUUCGGGUUGUAAACCUCUUUCAAUAGGGACGAAGCGCAAGUGACGGUACCUAUAGAAGAAGCACCGGCCAACUACGUGCCAGCAGCCGCGGUAAUACGUAGGGUGCGAGCGUUGUCCGGAGUUACUGGGCGUAAAGAGCUCGUAGGUGGUUUGUCGCGUUGUUCGUGAAAACUCACAGCUUAACUGUGGGCGUGCGGGCGAUACGGGCAGACUAGAGUACUGCAGGGGAGACUGGAAUUCCUGGUGUAGCGGUGGAAUGCGCAGAUAUCAGGAGGAACACCGGUGGCGAAGGCGGGUCUCUGGGCAGUAACUGACGCUGAGGAGCGAAAGCGUGGGGAGCGAACAGGAUUAGAUACCCCUGGUAGUCCACGCCGUAAACGGUGGGUACUAGGUGUGGGUUCCUUCCUUGGGAUCCGUGCCGUAGCUAACGCAUUAAGUACCCCGCCUGGGGAGUACGGCCGCAAGGCUAAAACUCAAAGGAAUUGACGGGGGCCCGCACAAGCGGCGGAGCAUGUGGAUUAAUUCGAUGCAACGCGAAGAACCUUACCUGGGUUUGACAUGCACAGGACGCCGGCAGAGAUGUCGGUUCCCUUGUGGCCUGUGUGCAGGUGGUGCAUGGCUGUCGUCAGCUCGUGUCGUGAGAUGUUGGGUUAAGUCCCGCAACGAGCGCAACCCUUGUCCUAUGUUGCCAGCGGGUUAUGCCGGGGACUCGUAGGAGACUGCCGGGGUCAACUCGGAGGAAGGUGGGGAUGACGUCAAGUCAUCAUGCCCCUUAUGUCCAGGGCUUCACACAUGCUACAAUGGCCGGUACAAAGGGCUGCGAUGCCGUGAGGUGGAGCGAAUCCUUUCAAAGCCGGUCUCAGUUCGGAUCGGGGUCUGCAACUCGACCCCGUGAAGUCGGAGUCGCUAGUAAUCGCAGAUCAGCAACGCUGCGGUGAAUACGUUCCCGGGCCUUGUACACACCGCCC